CGGAGCUUGCUCCACCGGAAAAAGARGAGUGGCGAACGGGUGAGUAACACGUGGGUAACCUGCCCAUCAGAAGGGGAUAACACUUGGAAACAGGUGCUAAUACCGUAUAACAAUCAAAACCGCAUGGUUUUGAUUUGAAAGGCGCUUUCGGGUGUCGCUGAUGGAUGGACCCGCGGUGCAUUAGCUAGUUGGUGAGGUAACGGCUCACCAAGGCCACGAUGCAUAGCCGACCUGAGAGGGUGAUCGGCCACAUUGGGACUGAGACACGGCCCAAACUCCUACGGGAGGCAGCAGUAGGGAAUCUUCGGCAAUGGACGAAAGUCUGACCGAGCAACGCCGCGUGAGUGAAGAAGGUUUUCGGAUCGUAAAACUCUGUUGUUAGAGAAGAACAAGGAUGAGAGUAACUGUUCAUCCCUUGACGGUAUCUAACCAGAAAGCCACGGCUAACUACGUGCCAGCAGCCGCGGUAAUACGUAGGUGGCAAGCGUUGUCCGGAUUUAUUGGGCGUAAAGCGAGCGCAGGCGGUUUCUUAAGUCUGAUGUGAAAGCCCCCGGCUCAACCGGGGAGGGUCAUUGGAAACUGGGAGACUUGAGUGCAGAAGAGGAGAGUGGAAUUCCAUGUGUAGCGGUGAAAUGCGUAGAUAUAUGGAGGAACACCAGUGGCGAA
rnacentral:rRNA from 1 species